rnacentral:lncRNA from 1 species
UUGGGUGGAAACUCAAGCUCAUUAUUACUUUCCUGGUUUCUUAUUUAGUUCUUGGAAAAACUCAUGAAUCUCUGUCCAUUUCAAUGACGAAACUUCAGACCAUUCCCACUGCAGUCCCUUCUUUGUUCUACACAAGCAUCUCCAGGCAGCCUCAGGUGAUUGGAAGGCACUAAUCCUUCUGCCCUACCACCCAUCUGACCCCCUAAAUCCAGAGGACAUGGGUCUAGAUCUCCCAAGAAUACUCUUUCCCCACUCUCUGCUCAAGUAGAAGCACAGAACAAGUCUACACAUUUCUGCAGCUCAGCAGCAGCUGACUGGGGACUGAGAUGUUGGUCUCCACUCCUGGCAAGUAACUGAGUGUCUUGAGUGUGCACCAUGAAGCCUCCCCUUGCUUGACCCAAGAGGUGGAGAGAAACUUC